rnacentral:rRNA from 1 species
AACGAACGCUGGCGGCAGGCUUAACACAUGCAAGUCGAACGAGAUCUUCGGAUCUAGUGGCAGACGGGUGAGGAACACGUGGGAACAUCCCUUUCAGUUCGGAAUAACGUUGGGAAACUAACGCUAAUACCGGAUACGUCCUUCGGGAGAAAGAUUUAUCGCUGAAAGAUUGGACCGCGUCUGAUUAGCUAGUUGGUGAGGUAAUGGCUCACCAAGGCUACGAUCAGUAGAUGAUCUGAGAGGAUGAUCAGCCACAUUGGGACUGAGACACGGCCCAAACUCCUACGGGAGGCAGCAGUGGGGAAUAUUGGACAAUGGGCGCAAGCCUGAUCCAGCCAUGCCGCGUGAGUGAUGACGGCCUUCGGGUUGUAAAGCUCUUUUGUCCGGGAAGAUAAUGACUGUACCGGAAGAAUAAGCCCCGGCAAACUUCGUGCCAGCAGCCGCGGUAACAC